rnacentral:rRNA from 1 species
UGGUCAAGCUACAAAGGGCUCACGGAGGAUACCUAGGCACACAGAGGCGAUGAAGGACGUGGUUACCUGCGAUAAGUCUCGGGGAGUUGGAAGCACACUUUGAUCCGGGAAUUUCCGAAUGGGGCAACCCCAUGUACGGCCAACUGAAUAUAUAGGUUGGUGCGAGCUAACCCAGCGAACUGAAACAUCUUAGUAGCUGGAGGAAGAGAAAGUAAAUAACGACUCCCUCAGUAGCGGCGAGCGAACGGGGAAUAGCCCAAACCGAUAGUCUUGACUGUCGGGGUUGUGGGACAGCAAUAUGGAUCAACAAGUCUAGAAGAAACGUUUGAAUGGCGUGCCACAGAGGGUGAAAGCCCCGUAAUCGAAAGAUAAGUUGACCUAGCUGUAUCCCGAGUAGCACGGAGCACGUGGAAUUCCGUGUGAAUCUGCGAGGACCACCUCGUAAGGCUAAGUACUACUGUGUGACCGAUAGUGAAACAGUACCGCGAGGGAAAGGUGAAAAGAACCCCGGGAGGGGAGUGAAAUAGAACAUGAAACCGUGAGCUUACAAGCAAUGGGAGCCCGACUAAUCGGGUGACCGUGUGCCUGUUGAAGAAUGAGCCGGCGACUUAUAGGCACUGGCGGGUUAUACCGGAAAUGGUGGAGCCACAG